rnacentral:rRNA from 1 species
GGGGCUACCAUGCAAGUCGAGCGGUAGCACAGAGAGCUUGCUCUCGGGUGACGAGCGGCGGACGGGUGAGUAAUGUCUGGGAAACUGCCUGAUGGAGGGGGAUAACUACUGGAAACGGUAGCUAAUACCGCAUAAUGUCGCAAGACCAAAGUGGGGGACCUUCGGGCCUCAUGCCAUCAGAUGUGCCCAGAUGGGAUUAGCUAGUAGGUGGGGUAACGGCUCACCUAGGCGACGAUCCCUAGCUGGUCUGAGAGGAUGACCAGCCACACUGGAACUGAGACACGGUCCAGACUCCUACGGGAGGCAGCAGUGGGGAAUAUUGCACAAUGGGCGCAAGCCUGAUGCAGCCAUGCCGCGUGUGUGAAGAAGGCCUUCGGGUUGUAAAGCACUUUCAGCGGGGAGGAAGGCGGUGAGGUUAAUAACCUUGUCGAUUGACGUUACCCGCAGAAGAAGCACCGGCUAACUCCGUGCCAGCAGCCGCGGUAAUACGGAGGGUGCAAGCGUUAAUCGGAAUUACUGGGCGUAAAGCGCACGCAGGCGGUCUGUCAAGUCGGAUGUGAAAUCCCCGGGCUCAACCUGGGAACUGCAUUCGAAACUGGCAGGCUAGAGUCUUGUAGAGGGGGGUAGAAUUCCAGGUGUAGCGGUGAAAUGCGUAGAGAUCUGGAGGAAUACCGGUGGCGAAGGCGGCCCCCUGGACAAAGACUGACGCUCAGGUGCGAAAGCGUGGGGAGCAAACAGGAUUAGAUACCCUGGUAGUCCACGCCGUAAACGAUGUCGAUUUGGAGGUUGUGCCCUUGAGGCGUGGCUUCCGGAGCUAACGCGUUAAAUCGACCGCCUGGGGAGUACGGCCGCAAGGUUAAAACUCAAAUGAAUUGACGGGGGCCCGCACAAGCGGUGGAGCAUGUGGUUUAAUUCGAUGCAACGCGAAGAACCUUACCUGGUCUUGACAUCCACAGAACUUUCCAGAGAUGGAUUGGUGCCUUCGGGAACUGUGAGACAGGUGCUGCAUGGCUGUCGUCAGCUCGUGUUGUGAAAUGUUGGGUUAAGUCCCGCAACGAGCGCAACCCUUAUCCUUUGUUGCCAGCGGUUCGGCCGGGAACUCAAAGGAGACUGCCAGUGAUAAACUGGAGGAAGGUGGGGAUGACGUCAAGUCAUCAUGGCCCUUACGACCAGGGCUACACACGUGCUACAAUGGCAUAUACAAAGAGAAGCGACCUCGCGAGAGCAAGCGGACCUCAUAAAGUAUGUCGUAGUCCGGAUUGGAGUCUGCAACUCGACUCCAUGAAGUCGGAAUCGCUAGUAAUCGUAGAUCAGAAUGCUACGGUGAAUACGUUCCCGGGCCUUGUACACACCGCCCGUCACACCAUGGGAGUGGGUUGCAAAAGAAGUAGGUAGCUUAACCUUCGGGAGGGCGCUUACCAAU